UUUUUUUUUUUCUAAAAAAUGGCAUUAGUCUAUUUCACAAGCAUUUGUAAUAUUAAUUUUGGAUGUUUUUCAGGAGCAUGAAACUUGACUUGAAGAUAUUAUUAAUUUAGUUUCGAGAAACACUGAGAAGGCAUGUAAUGAUAUAACUUUUUUUUUUGUUCUGUUGUUAAUUUAUUAUUAAAUUCUAUUGAAUGAUUUUUUCUUUAUUUCCCAUACAUACUAGUUCUUCAACAACAAUAUUUUCGAGAUUUUAUUUUUCUAGAUUAUUUUAUAUAGAAUUUUCUAUUUUAAAUUGAGUUUUUUUUUAUAAUUUUUAUAUAGAAUGAAGGUCAAAUAGAUAAAAAAAAAAGUAUAAAAUUUGAGGAAUAAAAUUGUUAUUAUACUAAUUAAAAAAGUGUCACUUAUCCAUGGAGCAACCAAAAAGGACAAUUUAAAAAAUGUAGUGACCAAAUUGUAACUUUUUUAGUUAAGUGACCAAAAUGAAAACUUAUCCAUACCUUAGUGACUACUUAUGUAACUUACCUUUUCUUUAAAAAAAUAUGAAGAUAUAUAUGGAUGAUUUUAUAAAACUUUAAUUUGUUGAACCUUUUCAAUGGAAAUUUAUAUAACUUUAGUGAACUUUUUUGAAGCUUUGUUUAUUGCUUAAUUACUCUAUAUCCAUAUUACUCCAUGUUAUUUUUUAAUUAUAAAAACUUAGAUAAUAAAAUAUAAAAAAAUAACUUUAUUAAUAAUGGAUGUCUAUAACCCCUUUAAACCCUUAUUAGAGUGAUGAGAUAAAACUCUCUAAUUCAUUUAUGAGCAUGAGAUGUUUCAAUAAAGAAAUUAAGAAUGCUUAAUUUACAUUUGUUGAUUGAAUGCAAAUGAGCUUAUAAAUAAAGCACCUUGUAAGUGAAAGUUUAAUAUGAAAAUUCUCCCGUAUUUUUCAUCUAUUAUUUUCUUAAUUUUUCUAUAACACAUUAUCAAUACGAGCCUCUACAAGUUCAUAGUGAAGCUCACGUCAUUGCGACUAUAUAACUUGUCCGUAAAGCUCCCGUUGAACUAUAUACGAUAGAUGGUUAAAAGAUUUAAUAUCGGUAUGGAUUUUGAUUUGAUGCACUUGACAUUGGGGUGUCUUAGUAUUCAUAUAAGUUAUUUUGAAAUAAAAGUUUUUUAUCAAUGAAUUUUGAGUUUUCUUACUUUUUUGAUAAAAAUCAGCAAGACGAACAAGAAAGUUGCUAUUAGAAUUUUCGUAGAAGAAAAGAAAUUAAGGUAAAUUUCACUUAUCACAUUACAUGCUUAUAUGUAUCACUUUUCAUUAUUUUUUAAGAUUUUAUAUUUAAAUAUGAAAUUAUAAAUUUUAAAAAAAAUCCAAAUAAUAGCUUCAAUAUAUUCAUUCUCUAAUAAUUUACAUUCAUUCAUUAAUAAAGAUUAUGAAUUUAUAUACCAUAAAUCUAAAAUGUGUUUGAGUUCAAUGAUUGCUAAAAUAUUUGCAAUAUCAAUAGUAGUUCUUAAAUUUGAAAAAAAAAAUAUUGCCAUUCAUUCUCGUUAACUGUAGUAUGAUUUUUUUUUUCAUUAUCAUAGCUAGUUGUCCUAAUUAAUAAAUAUAGAAUGCAUAUGUAACAUAUAAAUAUUAAUAAAAAAGUACAUAAUAAUCAAAUUAAAAAUUAAUGUAACUCCAACUAUAAAAUUAUGUCCAUCAUUCUCUGCUUAUAUUUUUUAACAUUCCUUUAACAAAUUUUUUUUAUCUUUAAAAUUGCAAAGUUUGCAUUUAAAAGAUUGUGCAAUUUUCAAGUUUAAAUCGAGUUAAAUUUUCAAAUUCUAAUAAAUUAAAUGCGAAAUUAUAUUAUUUUAAAAUUUAAAUUUAUAUCAUUAUUUAAUUUUACUUAAUCUACACCGUUUCAACUUUUCUUAUUAUUUUCCCUCCUAAACCCUUUUUACUUUACUACCCACCAUUUUUUCCAAAUCUAAAUCCCUAAAUCAACAUUUACUGAUAGAAUAAACUUCCUUCUUCAUCCUUUUUAUUAGUUUAUCUUUCUUCUUAUUUUUAUUUGCUUUUGUUUUCUUCUUCUAGAUAAGUCCAGUGCGAGCUAGAGCACAGUUAGACAAAGACAAGAUUUCGAGAGAAGUCAAGUUGCCAAUGCUUUGUAAAAUGCUAAUGUUUUGAGGGUAGCUUUAUGUUAUAUUUUGGACUUUUAUUUAUGUUUUCUAUUAUAAUUUUAUUGUAUUGUUGUUGUUGCUUACUUGGGCUCAUGUUGUGUUGAUUUUAUUUUUUUCAUUUUGUUUAAACAUAAUAUAUAUAUGUUAUCAGUCACUUGUUUCCUAUUAUGUGUUUUAUCAAUUAAUCCAAAAAGUUUUUUCUACCAAAAAAUAUUUUUGUAAAAAAGUAGAUUCCAAUUGAAAAUAAAUUUUAUUUAUUUUUCAAAAAAUUAUUCUAACUGGAAUAAAAUAAUUUAAAAAAAUAUUAUUUUUUGAAAAAUAAAUAAAAUUUAUUUUCAGUUAGAAUCCGAUUUUUUUACAAAAAUAUUUUUUGGUAGAAUUUUUUUUUGAAUUAAUUGAUAAAAAAACCUCUCUAUUUUUAGUAUUGAAGGGAAAUAAAAGAAAUAAUAAAAAAAGGGUUGAUAAAGCAAUUUACCAUUUUUGAGGUUUGGUGUCGCCACACUAUCAGCCUUAAAACUUUUUUUCAGCAGACAACGGAAAUGGAAAAUUUACAUGUUAAGUCUCUAAAUAUUUUAGGUCAUCAAAUUUCAGUCCAGUGUCGCCAAUUUGUCAGGUGACACCGAUAAAACACUGUAACAAACAUGUCAUUUUAGUAAAUAAUCUCGUCGACAUACCAUUUAAGUUAUUAAUUUUUUUGCAUUAUUUGAGUAAAAAAUCUAAAAAGUCAUUUAUACCCCUAUUUACUCCUAUAACCCUCUUAGAGUUUGUUAAAAAAAAACUCUCUUAGAGUUUGUAAAAAAAAAAAAAACACUCUCUUAGGAGUUGGUUAUACAUAUUUAAGUAUAGUUCUCACAUUAUUUUACAAAAAAAAAAUUUAAUCUAUCUUAGGCUUAACAAAUUUAUUGAAUUACUAUUUUGAGUACUGGAAAAAAAAAUAACAAUGUUUUAUUAAUAUCACAUUUGAAUUACACUAAUACAAAUAAAAAAAUUCUUAAAAUUCAUUUAAAUAGUAUAAUCUACUCUCAUCAUAAGUACCACCUCAAUAAGCUAAUCCCACUAAAUUAUUUGAAGAUAUAUUAAGAAGAGUUCCCACCAUCAAUUCAUCACUUCUUGAAGUCUAAUGUCACCCGACUAGCCAUAUUACAUGGUUCUUUCUCAUUGGCCCCAAUAGUAUCCCUAUAUUGAUAUCUGCCACUCUAAACUCUACGCUUAUGAGAUAUAGUGCUUGAUGGUUGAGAUUCACUCCAAGUUGAUCUCCUUAUAUGAAUACCCAGUCGUAACACCAAGGCAAAAACAUAGACUUAGAAUAAGGCACGAUAUCAAUCCUAUCAACCAAUACUUUGACAGAAUACUACCUCAACAUCUUUACCCUUUGUCAUAGUGGCACUCUACACUACUUAAAGUAUAAAUCACUUCCAUUUUAGUAACUCUCGACGUGAACCACUGCCCUUAUACUAUUUUUACGUUGUAAAACUUAAUUGUUAUAACAAAUAUUAUUUUAAGGGUUGAUAUCUACAUAAUUCAUAUAUUAUUGUAGAAAUAAACAUGUAAUAUUUAUUUUAUGGUAGGAAUUAGGUUAAUUUUUAGAAAAUAUGUUGAAAAUAAAAAAAAUUUGAGAAAGUAUGUUGAAAUUUUUGAAAUUUAUCAAUCUACAGGGUGCAUUUUCCUCACACUCUCUCCAAAAAUAGCGUAGAUAUAAGGUGUUUUUUCACUUUGCAAUUUUUUUCUUACGAUUGGAAGUUGAAAGUUUUUAGAUUUAUUUUUGUUUGUGUUUAAGAUAGACAUGUUAUAGUUUUAAGGUAUGUUUGAAUUUAUGGUGGUGUCGUGGAGUUGGGUGACCUAAAAAUUCCAUCUGCCAUGUGUGUAUGGAGCCAUCACUCACGAAGCCAAAUCGUGUUGCAACUCAAGGUCCCAAUUGAUGGUGAUUAUACAUCUCGGGUUAAAGUGUAACUAGGGCUUCAAUUUUACAAAGUUAUACUGUCAAGGGAUGAAGCAUAAAUGGAGCUCCAGUUGAUAGCGGUUAUGUGGGCAUGAUUGUGAGUUUUUCCUCAUAAGAGGAGGAUGCUUUAUAAAACCCAAACAGAAGUACGAGGAAGAAAAACACAAUGAUAUUUUAGUAUAAUCAAUUAAUUUGUUUUAUCCAUGUCCACUAAAAGUGGUGACACUAUUCCUAUAACUUGUGAUAGAAUUAGGGUGUAACAGGUUUCACUAACAAGGUCACUACCUUUCGUGGUGAUGGACAACACAAAUUACUUAAUUAUACUUGAAGACUCCUGCAUUUUUCUUCCUUACACUUCCAUAUGGGUUUUAUAGAGCAUGCUUCUCUAACAAGGAGAAACUCAUUAUCGUGCCCGCAUAACCACCGUCAACUAAGGCUCCAGUUAUGCUAUUAAAGGAGUUAUGCUCUAUCCUUUAAUAGCAUAACCUUUGUAAACUUGAAUCCUUAGUAACACUUCAACCCGAGACAGUAUAAUCACUGCCAACUUGGACCUCGAGUUGCAAUGCGAUCUCGACUUUUCAGGUGAUGGCUCUAUACUCAUAUGGUAGGUGAAAUUUGUAGGUUACCGAGCUCCAUGACAUCACCGUGAACCCAAACACAAGUUAAAACUAUGACUAUGUCUCCCUUGAAGCUAGAGAGAAAUAAAUCUUUAAACCCAAAAAUUUUAACACGCAAGAAAAAAAAAUUUAAAGGAGACUGAAAUAUGUUGGAAUAGGGGAUGAGAACGACCAUUUAUAUAGAAGCUAGGGCGGGGUAAAAAGAAAAAUUUUUAAUUUAUACCAAGAAUCUCGGGUUAUAGGGGGUCAGAGGCAAAAGAGAUCAAGUUGACUUGGGCGUUGAAACAACUAGAGAGAAAAUGCCCCUAGGUAUUUCAACCCCCAACCAACUUGAUUGCUUCUACCUUUGAGCCUUCUACAACUCGAAAUUCCCAGGAUAAAUUUCAUAGAUUGUUGUCUUGCUAAAAAAUGCUGCUGUGGGGGAGCGUUUCCUCCCCCACAAAUUUCGACUUUAAUUAUAUACCUUAAAAACCCGUGAUGCCCGAGGCACGUAUUGUUUCUGGAAUCGUUUGAUAUGCCUCGGGGUUGAGCUCUAUAAAAUAACCUCAAUAUAAUCCCUUGAGUUUCCAUACAUAUCUUUCAAAAAGAUUGUUUCCAUAAUGAUACCAGACAUUAAGAGAAAAGGGUUGUGGUGAAAAAACUAAAUUUCGUAUCUACGCCAUUGUCCAAGCAAAGGCAAUUUGUUAAAUUAUGUGUAGGUCUUUUAAUUUGGGUGAUGAAAACUAUAUUUUUUUUACUAUUCUCUCGAUUUUAAACAUAUGAAACUGGCUAUUUUGUUCAAGAUAAGCAGAUGAGUCAGAGUUGUUAUCCAUUACAAUAGACAAAUUUGUGAUAUCGAAAUUGGGUCCGUUUUUGUAUUAGCCUAAUUUGAAGAUUUAAUAUUCAAUUGAAGCAUAACGUUAAACGAGCUUCAGACAAGGAUUAGGCGCAAAGUGAGGAUUUAGAGAAGAACAUUGAGCCUGAAAUUUAGAUAUAUUUCGUCAUUAGACCCCAUUGGAUAUGCCAUUUUUGAUAUCACAAGGGACAACAAGCUGGAGACAGUGAUCAAAUCCCAUUGCUCUGGUGGGAAUGCUGUACUAGAUUUAUAUGCUGACUUUGUCGAAGAGGACGAAAGUGGCCCAAGAUCGAUUACAUUGUCCCUGCCAAAUUCUAUGCCAGAUCAAGAAGCAGAAAGUCUGACCACACGGUUGUGUGAUGUACAAACCCCUACCCACAUGUGUACUGUCAAUCUUGCUGCUGAAUGUGGUUUAAAAUUCUCAAACCUCAUUCAUAGAAGACUAGGGUAUGUGACUUUAUCAACAAAUUUCACCCAUUUAGAGGUUAGGAUAAAGUUUGACUCUAAAGAUACUUUUGUAGUUGUAGUCAAGUAAUAUAUCAUAUAGUUUGGCGUUCACUUUACCGUUACAUGCUCCCGAUCCAAGAAAUAUGAGGUGAAGUGUGUAAUGUAUGAAACAUGAUAUCCAUGGAAAAUUAUGACAUCUGCGAGGAAGAAGUCGACGUUCUGGAUGAUCAAAAAGUUUACUGUUCCACAUAAAUUUGUUGCAGUUGGUAUGUAUCAUGGUUGACAACAUCGACUAAAAUUUUGACAUUUUUUCCAAUAUUGUAUUACGUAUGGGACCUAAUUUAUUAUUUUCUAGACAUGUCAAACGAUUAUUCGAAAUUGGAUUCGGACAUGAUAUUUGACUUUAUAUUACCCAUGGUCAAAGCGAGUCCUAGGAUUCCAGUCCCAAUUUUGAUCGCACACAUCCAUAGUGAGUUCGAUUACAUUAUGUCCUACCACAAAGCAUGGUUAACAAAAUAGAAGGCAUUGGAGAAGAUGCAUAGUGGGUGAGACAAAUCCUACAAUGAAUUGUGGCAAUGAUGUCAAGUACUGGAGUGAUACGUACUAGGUUACGUAACCGAGCUGCAAAUGGAGCUUGUGUAUUACGAUGAUAACUUGGUCCUUGGAAAAAGACUUUUCCAUAAUUUUUUUAGAUUUUCAAGCAAUGCAUAACUAUAUUUUGAUACUGUAAGCCACUUGACCAAUUGAUGACACAUUCAUGUAUGGAAGAUACGGGCAUCGGUUGUUGUUAGCUGUUAAACAAUAUGGUAAUUGAAAAUUCUUGUCAAUAGCUUUUGCUAUAACUUUUGAAGAAUCCAAAGAUGACUGAGAUUUCUUUUUAACCAACCUAUGAAGGCAUGUUGUGCCGCAACCCAAUGUAUGCAUCAUUUCCAAUAGGGGUAUUGGAAUAUAGGCUACUUUCGAUUGAUGUUUAAGCCUAUAGGAUCAUGCACACCACAUUUAUUGUUUACGUCAUUUAAGGUCUAACUACAUGGGUCGAUACCAUAAGGAUGUAGAGUGACAACAUGUGAUCAACAUGGGUACAUUGUGCAUAGUAUUUCUUUUAUAUACAACAAUAUAACAUAUACAUUUUGGGUUACGUUUCUUGACUACAAUAUUGAUUAUCAUCGACAGGGUACGAGCUUGUCCAACAUUGAUUCCAUGAAAUGUUGGAGAGACUACGGGCUGUAAACUGAUAGGGUAUGGCAUACUUCGAUAGGAUACCCAAUGGCAGUGGACGCAAUUUUAUGAUGAAAAACUACGAUGCGGGCUAAAGAGGAUGUGUCAUUUUUCGGUAACCUUGAUGGUCAAGGAAAUGUAUUUUCAAUUAGUAGCCUUGUUUCCAAAGCGGACUGAGACAUACGUGAGACAAAUAAAGGGCGGUUACAUUUGGUGCGAGUCGGUGUUGAAAGAUGUUGGGGAAAAUAUAGAAAGAGUGAACUCAAUGUCUUUAGUAUGUCACUUGCGACCAAAUCUAAUAUUCCGGGUUAUAGAGUCCUAUAGACUCGACCAAUGAGUUAUCGGUGGAGCGUACCGCGUAGACCUGAGACAAAUGAUCUAUGACUAUGAGAGAUUGUAAGCACUUCGUUAUCCAUGUGCAUAUACAAUUGUAACAUGUGCCUCGACACAUGUAGAUUACAUGACCUACAUUGAUGAAGUUUACAAACUUGAACACACAUAUAAUGUUUGGAAAUCUAAAUUUCCACUUGUCCCAGAUGAAAACAUGUGGCAGCUUACCUCGCACACUCCUUUCGAGUUGGUAUCGAAUAAGAACUUGCAGCACAAGCCAAAAGGUCGAUCGAGCUCAACUCAGAUAUGAGGCAAUGUGGAUAUUCAAGAGUGAAGAGACACAUCGAGUUAUGUGGUUACUGUAGGAACCCAGGGCAUACAAAGCCAACAUUGUUGGAAAAAUGGGUUUGGAAAAUGCAUCAGAAAAUAAAUUUAGGGAAAAUGAAGUUUCAAAAAUUAUUUCCAAAAUAAGAUCUUGGUUGUGAUAUCUAAAGUAUAAACACUUAAUCAAAAUUGUACCUUUUCGAUUUGUCUAGGAUGAGCAUUUCGACCAAGUAGUUUUCUUUCGCUAUCCUCAAGCUCAUGUCUACCGAGUGUGGGCUCUCUUCGAACCAGAAAAUUUUUCACAAAAAUUACCAAUGAGGUAAUUUACCAGUGGGGUAAUUUUAUAAUUUCUCUAAACUUUUGGGUCAAGUUGUAAGUAAAAAAAUAUCUUUAGAAAUUUUCUAAAAUAAUCUCUUUAGAGAAUUUUCUUUCUACAACUUUCUCUUGAAUUCAAUGUGUAAAAUAAUAACCCAAGGCUCUCUUUAUAUAGAGAGAGUUUAGAGAGUUCAACCAUAAUUAAACUUAAUCACUUUAAUAUUAAAUUAAUAUAAUAUUUAUCAAGAUAAAUAUUUAUCAAGAUAAAUAUUAGAUUAAAUUUAAUAUUAAAUUUUAUUAAAAUAAUAGAAUGUUUAUCUACAAGAUAAAUAUUUAAUAUUAAGAUAAUCAUUUUAAUAUUAAAUUAAUAAAAUACUAUUAAGAUAAGUAUUAAAUUAAAUUGAAUAUUAAACUAUUAAACUAUUAUUAUUUUUGGAAUAGUUAAUCUGAAAUCAAAUUCUCUAGUAGAGUCUCAGUAGGAGUGUAACUCUUCCACUACUCAAUCACCAAAUGCCAGCUGCUGCCGGCUACCAGGACGCCGCCGUCCCAGCCACCGGCACCGUUGUGUCUGGUGAUGCAGGUGCAACACCUUUAUAGCAUCUCGAGUCGGUUCGAAUAUUGCCGGUUUGGUUUGGGUCAGUGACAACCCGAUCGGUCCGGUCUAGUCACCGGUUGGAUCGUCGGUCCAGUUUCACAUACUUGGUCUGAUUCGACCAAUUUUUGGGUCUUGGUCUCGGUUUUAGGCUCCCGGGCCCAAUUUACGAUCUUAGGUCUAAUUUUCAAGUUCAAUUACCUAUUGGGCCAAUUGCGGCCAAUUGUCUGACUUGAAAAUUAAUUUUCAAAAAUAUCAUAUUAAUUUUAAUUAAUUUGAUUAAUUUAAUUUUACUUGAUCAAAAUUAAUUUUCCCAAAAGCCACUUAGAUUUUCGAAAUUAAUUUUUCAAGAAAAAAUUUCCUACCAAACUCCGUUACACACUAUAAUUGAGUUUCCCCAGAAUUCGUCCAUCCAAUAACACACCAAUAAUGUUGUCAAGCCACUAGAUAAUGCAGUCAAGCUGCCCAAUACAGAAUAUUGUGGUCGAGCCACCAGAUUUACAAAUAUACUGCCAGAUAAUGUGGUUAAACCACUAGGAUAUGCAGAUUAUUAAACUGCUAGAAUAUUUCCACCUUUCAAUAUAAUCCCAACCCCAUGCAUGUGAUAUGGUAUACGAAAAACAGGUUUUCCAUAGGCAUGCUUUAAAUGCGAAUCAGACUUAUAGUACGGAUCAGACAGUGGGCAUGGUUAACAUGCGAAUCGGAUUAUCAACAGAAUCAGUGGCAGGCUUAUUUUUCAGGCUUAUCACAUAACACCAUAUAGUGACAAUAUGUGAGUGUUAGGAAAUAACAUGAUAUCUCAUUUAACAGUAAAAAAUACAAUCACAUUCAUAACAUCACAAAUUCGAAGGCUCAGAAUCACUUACUUGGAAUCCUCUUUUUUAACGGAUUUAUCAAUUCUUUUGAAUACAUAGUGUAUUCGCAUAUUUUCGUGUUUCAGAAUUGCUCAUACUGUUAUUUAAUAUUAAUACAAUUACUUUAAUCAAAAAAUAAUUUCACAGAUUUUAAGUAGUUUAAACCCACACCUAGAUUCGUAUGUCCCAAAGAUAUCGAUUCUGUUUUCCAACUCUAAAGGAGUAGAUCAGUCCUUGAAUCCUUAAAUUUGAUAAAAUUUAAUACCACAUUAGUAUAUUGACAUUUUCAUGUAGAUUUCAUACUGGUGAAUAAGUGAAAAUACUUAUUUAAGCGGUUGUCCAAAUAAAUGCACACUUCCAAAAUAUGGAAUAUGGAUCCGAGCGAUUUACGAUUAUCACGUCACGUAUGCACAUCGAAUAUUAACGUAAGAAUCAGCCUGAUUGAGAUGAAAAGAAAAGAUUAGAACCAAAUGAUUUUCCAAUACUUACGUUAUAUCGAGAAAAUAGGAGGCUCUACGAUUCCUGCGGUGACUCGAUUAGACAGGAGGAUUUGAAACUAACAAGUACAAUAAAAUAAGAAAAUGGUGAAUUAGAAAAAGUUAUCAAUAAAACCUUUCUAAAUUCAAAAUUUAAUACUGGAGUGAAUAGAAAAUUGAUUACAAAAUAGAGGAGGAGAAGAGCAAGGAAAACAGAGAAAAAAUAGUAGAGGACGAUGGUGGCAGCACGAUAACGGUGGAGGUCCAAUAGUAGUGCUGAGGUGAUGGUUCAGUUGGCUAAUAGUUGUGGUGAUUUGGUGUGAAUAUGGUGGCCGAUGAUAGUAUUUUGGUGGCAAAUAUUAAAAAUGUGGUGGUUGAAAGAGGAGGAAAAAGAGAGAAAGGAUGAGAGAAUAGUAAAAUGAAAAAAAAGUGAGUUAGGAGUGUCUAGGUGCAUGGGACGACUAUGGUAUGGUAAUGGAGGAAAAAUGGCAACAUGAUAGGACAAUGACAUGAAAAAGGGGAUAAAAAAAAGACAUGUGUAGUGAAUAAGGGGCUAAUGGAGGAAGGUUAACUUAUAAAAAAGGAAAGAAAUCUCCUCCACAAGGCAACAAAGGGUAGAUGGCUAAGGGGUGUUGACCAAGGAUUUUAUGUCCAAAAAAUUUAAAUAAAAGAUGAGAGAGUGGAGGCUUGAACAUAGGACCUUAAGGAAACUGAUUGCGUACUUAACCACUAAGCCACUUUAAUUCAUUGACAUACACUAACGAUUUAAAAUAUAAAUAAUAUGGGGCAUGACACCUCAUUCGACUUUGUCUUCAUCUUCACGUGCACAUCCAUAUUGAUCGUCAUAUUCAUUUCCUUCCUCCAUGGUUGACUGCAUCUAGGUCCUAGCCGCCCAUUGUACAUUCCCCUUGUAUGAGUCGGCGAUUGCGAGGAUGAUUGACUUCAGUAGAACAAUGAUGCCGAGAGUGUUUGCGACACUAUCGAUUGAUAAUUAUAUGGUGUCGCAUGGGUUAAUUAUGGAUAAAAGGUGGGAAUUGUCAACAAUAUCGGAUGAGCCAGUGUUACUGGUGGCAUCGACAUGUAAUAUGAUGCAGUGGGUGGCGGUCGUGCGAAAUAUACCCCUAGAGAAGGUGUUGAUACAAGGAAUGAUUACGUGUGUUAUGGUGCUUGUGUAAAAUAAAUUGAUGCUGAAGGUAUUGAUGUAGGGAAUGAUUGAACGUGUUGUGUUGCUUGUGUAAAAUAAACUGGGUUAGAACAAAAAAAUAUGUGAACCAUAAUGACCGAGAGGUUGCAUUGCAAUCAGGUCAUUGUGUGGAGCUAGAGCAAAUGUUAAUCCUCUCGUGACAUGUUCUCUUGACCUAGGAUUGAUGGGCCCUAGUCUUGGCAUCCUACGACGACAUUGCCUACUCUUUUCUAAAGUUGGCAGUAGAUACAACUUGCCAUUAUGCCUAAACCAAUCCAUGUAAUCCGGAGAUGUCGCCAGCUCCGGAUUGAGAAAUGGUUCAUGUGUUGGCAAGUAAUCGUACCUACGCUGCCAAAUCUCGAUAUACUUCUUGUGGAAUGUUGGCUAAUCUUCCUUGAGUCUCCCUCGCAAGUCGAUAUUGUACAAGUCAUCGAGCUCUUGGGGUGGCAGCGGAAUGCGUUGCAUACACCCGAACUACUGCAUCACUUGAUUGAAUUCGUUCAUCUCGACUGUUGCAAAAAUGAUCAAUGAAACUUUGACAUACUAGAUGUUGCGAUUGGGCAAAAUUUCGGCCGGGACGUAUUCUUGAAUCCUUAGAUCUGCAUAUGAUAUCCAAACAAACUGUAGUAAAAAUUUAUAAAUUUUAGCACGUGUCCAAUAUUUAAUUUAAAAUGCUGGAAUAAAAAACUGAUAACUUUGAAAUUCAUAAACUAACCUCCUCUUCGGUUUGUUGAUCUAAAGCUAGUCAGAUAUCCUCGAGCUCGGUUGGUAUACUGUUGUGUCUCGCAGGGUUGUUCCACUUGUUCAAAUAAUAUGUUAAUUCAAAAUUACAACAAUGAAAAAUUAAAAAGAUAAUAAUAUUAUCAAAUGAAUUUUACCAUAUUACAAGUGAGAAUUCAUAAGGGGGUCCACUUGGGGGCCGUAAAAAUGGUAGUCGAUAUCAUGCUCACGAUUAAAAAAGGAGCAUGCAACCGCUGAUUUUAACUUUUCUGGUUUCGCCGCUUGACACAUUUCUCGAUACAAUGUCACCAGCAUUGCUGAUUCUCAACUAAGUCAUCCCGUUUCUUUCAAGUCGGCUAGUAGUAGUAGCCACUUUACAUGUACUAGAUUUCAAGAUUUAUCUGGCAUAGAGCAGACCCUGAUCAACCUCAAGAUUAAUGCGCGCGCGGGGUUUUUUUUUUCAACGUCACUCGCAGAAGCCUUGAUAGUUUUGAAGUUUUCCUCCAACCAUCUCAUCUCGAUUCUGCUAUCCAAAACUUGUAUGACACCUUCUCUAGUAGUUGCUCGCAUAUUGCACUACAACCGGCACUAAGUACUAACCCCAUAACGACUUCCCCAUUGACCGGUAGACCGAGUUGUAAACUAACGUCCUUGAGAGUAAUUGUACACUUAUUGCAGGGAAGACGGAAUGUGUGUGUCUCCAGUCUCCAUCUUUCGACCAAACAUUGAUUAGGUGGGGGAUCCAAUUCAGUCCCCUCAAGCAUGUGAGCCACGUAAAAAAAUCCUGCAUCUCGCAAGUGAUCAUAAAUGACAUUCAAUGCACAUUCGCUUAAAUUGUUUAUGUACGUCUUCGAAAUCCGAUCUUCUGCCUGAGUAUAUAAACAUAAAAAAUUAAUAAUUUUAAUAGCAUAAUAAUUAAUUAUUUAAAAUUAAAUAAUUUAAUAAUAUUUUCUUACCAUUUGUAAUUGAAUGCCAAAUAUAUGCUUGUCAUCCAGAUGAAUAAAUUGAUUUGCCAUUUUACAAAUUAUAAGGAAUAAAAUAAAAUUGAAAAGAAUAAGAUUCAGAGAAAGAUUUAAAAAAAUAAUUGAGAAAUGAAAAAUGAGUAUCGAGUAUUGAGUUGAAAAGAAUGAAGUUUAGAAAGGUUUAUAUAAGAAAAAUUAUGGCUGUUGAACCCCUUAUAGUCAUUAGAAAAGUUACUAUUGAAAUAGUUAACAUUAAAAGGAAAAUGUAUUCUAUAGAACUCGUUUUCCUUCUUCUCUCAAAAAAACAAUAUAAAUCAGUAAAUUAAAAAAAAGAAGAAGCAUACUUUCUCAAAUUUUUUUAUAUUAAGCAUAUUUCUAAAAAUGAGCGCAUGAAUUAUUUUGAUAGGAAAAUCCUUUCAGUAUUUUAAAAGCAAUGGAAUUGAUUUCGUUUGUUUGUUGACAAUCCACAACCACAAAAUAAACAAGAUGGAUGAUAGAUAGCCUUAUAAACUCAAACACUAUUUUCUCUUUCGUCUAGUCCGUCACUCUACUAAACCCAAAUGGAAACUUGGUUCUUCAUCCUCCUCAUCGCUGUCUCCAUUUCCCUUAUUCUCAAAGCCUUCUUCAACCUCUUCUCUCCUCCCAAAAAGCUUACCCACACUCUCCCUCCAGGCCCUUCCACUUUCCCUAUCAUUGGCAACUUCUUAUGGCUCCGCAAAUCUUUCUUCGAAAUCGAGCCAAUACUCCGCAACCUUCGCAAAAAGUAUGGUUCCAUGGUCACUCUCUACAUUGGUCCUCGCCCCUCCAUCUUUGUCUCCGAUCAUUCCCUUGCUCACCAGGCGUUAGUCCAAAGCGGUUCACUGUUUUCCGACCGCCCCAAAGCUCUUCCUACUAGCAAAAUCAUGAGUAGCAACCAACACAACAUCAGCUCCGCCCCGUAUGGACCGAACUGGCGGGUUUUGCGGCGGAACCUUACAUCAGAAAUUCUCCAUCCUUCGCGUAUCAAGUCGUAUUCUCAUGCACGUAAAUGGGUUUUGGACAUUCUUUUUGAUGUUUUGCAAUCAAAGGCUAAAACCGGAGAACCAGUUCAGGUUUUAACUCAUUUUCAAUAUGUUAUGUUUUGUUUACUGGUUUUAAUGUGCUUUGGUGACAAGCUUAGUCAGGAGCAGAUCAAAAAGAUCGAGGAUGUUGUGCGAAGAGGGCUGCUGGGGUUGGAAAGGUUCAAUAUACUUAACUUUUGGCCUAAGGUGACCAAGGUUUUGCUUCGUAAGCGAUGGCAGGAGUUUUUUCAGCGACGUAAAGAUCAAGAGGAUGUGCUGAUACCAUUGAUAAGAGCAAGAAAGAAAGCUAAAGAGGAGAAAUUGAGUGAUAAGAAAAGCGAUGAUUAUGUUUUGGCAUACGUUGAUACUUUAUUGGAUUUGGAGUUACCAGAAGAGAAAAGGAAACUUACUGAAGGAGAAAUUUUUAGUUUGGCCUCUGAAUUCCUUAAUGCUGGCACUGAUACUACCUCCACUGCUUUGCAAUGGGUUAUGGCAAAUUUGGUGAAAUACCCUCAUAUUCAAGAUAAGUUAUUUCUUGAAAUUAAAGGGGUUGUGGGAGAUGGAGAGGAAAUCAAAGAAGAUGAUUUACAAAAGAUGCCUUAUCUGAAAGCAGUGAUAUUGGAAGGGCUAAGAAGGCACCCACCAGGGCAUUUUGUGCUUCCUCAUUGUGUGACAGAAGACACUGUGCUGGGAGACUAUUUGGUUCCCAAGAAUGGAACUAUCAAUUUCAUGGUGGCAGAGAUGGGAUGGGAUCCAAAGGUGUGGGAGGAUCCCAUGGCAUUUAAGCCAGAGAGGUUCAUGAGAAAUGAACAAGUGUUUGAUAUAACAGGGAGUAGGGAAAUCAAGAUGAUGCCUUUCGGUGUUGGGAGAAGAAUUUGUCCUGGAUUUGGCUUAGCCCUUCUUCAUCUGGAGUAUUUUGUGGCAAAUUUGAUCUGGAAAUUUGAAUGGAAGGCAAUGGAUGGAGAUGAGAUCAGCUUGGAAGAGAAGC
rnacentral:lncRNA from 1 species